AGAGUUUGAUCAUGGCUCAGAUUGAACGCUGGCGGCGUGCCUAACACAUGCAAGUCGUACGAGAAAGUGGAGCAAUCCAUGAGUAAAGUGGCGACCGGGUGAGUAACACGUGACUAACCUACCUUCGAGUGGGGGAUAACUCCGGGAAACCGGGGCUAAUACCGCAUAACAUCGCAAGAUCAAAGCAGCAAUGCGCUUGA
rnacentral:rRNA from 1 species